rnacentral:rRNA from 1 species
UGAUCAGAGGAGCUGGGCUCCUUGCGAGCUCAACCUAUUCUCAAACUUUCAAUGGGUGAGACGUCUCGCUGGCUUCACUGCAGCGACGACUCUGAAUCCGAGUGCCCAGUGGGCCACUUUUGGUAAGCAGAACUGGCGAUGCGGGAUGAACCGCAUGUCGAGUUAAGGUGCCUAAGCGGACGCAAAUCAGAUACCAUGAAAGGUGUUGAUUGCUCACGACAGCAGGACGGUGGCCAUGGAAGUCGGCAUCCGCUAAGGAGUGUGUAACAACUCACCUGCCGAAGCAAUCAGCCCUGAAAAUGGAUGGCGCUAAAGCGUUCCACCGAUACUCGACCGUCGUCGGCACGCGAUCGACUUCCGUUCGGUCUCAGGCCACGACGAGUAGGGCGGCGCGGUGGUGAGCGUCGAAGGCGUAGCCGUGAGGCUAGCUGGAGCCGCCAUCGGUGCAGAUCUUGGUGGUAGUAGCAAAUACACAAGCAAGAUCCUUGUGGACCGAUGUGGAGAAGGGUUCCGCGCGAACAGUACUUGGACGUGGGUGAGUCGGCCCUAAGCCAACGGGUAAUUCCCGCAUCCCG